UACGGAGGGGGCUAGCGUUGUUCGGAAUUACUGGGCGUAAAGCGCGGGCAGGUGGCCUUUUAAGUCCUUUGUGAAAUCCCGGAGCUCAACUCCGGAUGUGCAUAGGAUACUGGAAGGCUAGAGACUGGUAGAGGCGAGCGGAAUUCCUGGUGUAGCGGUGGAAUGCGUAGAUAUCAGGAAGAACACCGGUGGCGAAGGCGGCUCGCUGGGCCAGUUACUGACGCUGAGACGCGAAAGCGUGGGGAGCAAACAGG
rnacentral:rRNA from 1 species